rnacentral:rRNA from 1 species
GACGAACGCUGGCGGCGUGCUUAACACAUGCAAGUCGAACGGAAAGGCCCUGCUUUUGUGGGGUGCUCGAGUGGCGAACGGGUGAGUAACACGUGAGUAACCUGCCCUUGACUUUGGGAUAACUUCAGGAAACUGGGGCUAAUACCGGAUAGGAGCUCCUGCUGCAUGGUGGGGGUUGGAAAGUUUCGGCGGUUGGGGAUGGACUCGCGGCUUAUCAGCUUGUUGGUGGGGUAGUGGCUUACCAAGGCUUUGACGGGUAGCCGGCCUGAGAGGGUGACCGGCCACAUUGGGAAUGAGAUACGGCCCAGACGCCUACGGGAGGAAGGAGUGGGGAAUAUUGCACAAUGGGCGGAAGCCUGAGGCAGCAACGCCGCGUGCGGGAUGACGGCCUUCGGGUUGUAAACCGCUUUCGCCUGUGACGAAGCGUGAGGGACGGUAAUGGGUAAAGAAGCACCGGCUAACUACGG